UAGGUUUAGAGAGGCGAACCUGGGGAACUGAAACAUCUAAGUACCCAGAGGAAAAGAAAUCAACCGAGAUUCCCUUAGUAGCGGCGAGCGAACGGGGACCAGCCCUUAAGCUGUUUAAGCCUUAAUAGAACGCUCUGGAAAGUGCGGCCAUAGUGGGUGAUAGCCCCGUAUAUGAAAAGUCUUUUACAGUGAAAUCGAGUAGGACGGGACACGUGUUAUCCUGUCUGAACAUGGGGGGACCAUCCUCCAAGGCUAAAUACUCCUGACUGACCGAUAGUGAACCAGUACCGUGAGGGAAAGGCGAAAAGAACCCCUGUGAGGGGAGUGAAAUAGACCCUGAAACCGUGUACGUACAAGCAGUGGGAGCCGACUUUGUUCGGUGACUGCGUACCUUUUGUAUAAUGGGUCAACGACUUACUUUCAGUAGCAAGCUUAACCAGUAGGGGAGGCGUAGGGAAACCGAGUCUUAAUAGGGCGCAUAGUUGCUGGGAGUAGACCCGAAACCGGGCGAUCUAUCCAUGGGCAGGUUGAAGGUUGAGUAACAUCAACUGGAGGACCGAACCGACUACCGUUGAAAAGUUAGCGGAUGACCUGUGGAUCGGAGUGAAAGGCUAAUCAAGCUCGGAGAUAGCUGGUUCUCCUCGAAAGCUAUUUAGGUAGCGCCUCAUGUCUCACCUUGGGGGGUAGAGCACUGUUUCGGCUAGGG
rnacentral:rRNA from 1 species